ACAAGUACCGUGAGGGAAAGUUGAAAAGCACUUUGAAGAGAGAGUUAAAGAGGACGUGAAACCGGUAGGAUGGAAACGGAUAGAGCUAGCGAACUCGCCCGUAUUCAGCCAAAGGCCUGUGGGCGCCAUUCGUUGAGUUACUUAUCGUGCUCGGCGUUUGUCGUUCUGCGGGUUUAGGUGCAUUUGCGGGCGUAUGCGCUGAGACUUGUGGGGUAGCUGCAAGAACCGUGCUUAGAGGCCUCCCUCUGGGUUGAACCUAGGCGCGGCAACGGCUGUUUGCCCUGCUCGUAUGUUGGUACGAUGUACUCUGUCUGUGCUGCUGUCUCCUUGCGGUGGUAUCGCAUGCGAUGCCUAGCUUGGGGGCUGCGGUAUGGGCUGGGUCCUCGUUCCCUUCUCGGUGUAGAAGCUGGUCAUCUUUCCGACCCGUCUUGAAACACGGACCAAGGAGUUUAGCGUAUGCGCGAGUCAUUGGGUGCUAAACCCAUAGGCGCAAUGAAAGUGAAGGCCCGGUCGCUGGGCUGACAUGCGAGUGCUAUAGCCUCGGCUUUGGCAUGCAGCAUGGUCCCGUUCCGGUCGCUUGCGACGGAGCGGAGACAGAGCGUAUGCGCUGAGACCCGAAAGAUGGUGAACUAUUCCUGAGCAGGACGAAGCCGGAGGAAACUCUGGUGGAAGUCCGAAGCGAUUCUGACGUGCAAAUCGAUCGUCUGACUUGGGUAUAGGGGCGAAAGACUAAUCGAACCAUCUAGUAGCUGGUUCCUUCCGA
rnacentral:rRNA from 1 species